rnacentral:lncRNA from 1 species
AAGAAUAAAAGAACCAGCAGUAUGAAUAUGGAAUACCUAUGAUUUACUAUGAAAGCUUGGGCUAAUGAUAUAUGAAACGAAACUUGGUCAUUCUAUGUAUAAAUUCAAGUCUGUGGUCUCCAACUAACUCAUUCCAAUUCAAAAUUCAAAUUUAUCUUAUCAAAGCCUUUUGCUUUCAAUAAGUCUUUCUGUAUGUCAAGAUUCACCUCGGCAGCAACCAACUUUGCCUUUAGC